AUACUUACCUGGCAGGGGAGAUACCAUGAGCAUGAAGGUGGUUUUCCCAGGUUUUCCCAGAGCGCGGCUUAUCCAUUGCACUCCGGAUGUGCUGACCCCUGCAAUUUCCCCAAAUGUGGGAAGUUCAACUGCGUUAAUUUGUGGUAGUGGAGGACUGAUUUCACACUCUCCCCUG
rfam:Erinaceus europaeus unplaced genomic scaffold scaffold00100, whole genome shotgun sequence